ACUGAGAAUCGCCAGGCUUUCUCACGUGUGUGGACGUUCUUGAAACUGUGAAUACACAAGAGCAAAGAUGGAAGCUUGUUAUUAUUUAUCCAGCCAAAAAACAAGAGACCCAGAGUCAAGAGAUUUGUGGAAGACUGCAGGAAGACAAAUGGAAAGAGAACUUCUGGAUUAGUGCAAGAAAAAGAAGAGUUUUCUUAAUGAGAGGAAUUAUAUUGCUGUAAUACAACAAUAUAAACAA
rnacentral:lncRNA from 1 species